rfam:Paenibacillus sp. MSt1 Contig_18, whole genome shotgun sequence.
CGGUGAUAUCUCCUUACCGUUAUCAACGGAGGUACUCGGUCAUGCUGUGGGUUGGCUCAACCUUAGACGUAGAUCGUCGAGAGUGUGACGUGAGGAGAGGUUAGAUGCCUC